UUUAUAUAAUUAUGUAUUACCAUUAAAAGUUCUAAAUGAACUAAAUUUUUAUCGAACAUCUAUAAAUUUAAACAUUUUCCGAUUUACGCCAGUUUUUAAAUAUAUGGCAUAUAAUAUAUAUACAGAAGGUAGCCAAUUGUUUUCACAGGUUCACUAACAACAAUGAUAACUAACAAACAUAGAUCCAUAACACAACAUGAAUAUGUUAAUGGUACCGAAAUCAAAGACGCUCUGAAAGUUUUGCCUGGUGUAAUAGAAGUAAUGUACCUAUCCACAGGAAAUAUGCAAGAAACUAAAAUAUGAAGCAGAAUUUUGCAUGAAUGCAGAAACUAAGAUCAAGUAUGGGAAUUUGCUUAGUGGUGCUAUCUUUGUGAAGAAGAGUGUUGGUAGCUGAUACCAGCCAACAUGAUGCUUUCGUGCUAUGAUUCUAUAUUAUCAUUGUAUAUAUAAAAAGUAAAAAAAAUAUUGACAUUGUCACUUUUGAUAUAAAGAUAUUAACAU